UGCGCCUUAUGCAUGCAAGUCGAGCGAAGCUUUUCAGUAGUUUACUACAGAAAAUGACUGAGCGGCGAACGGGUGAGUAACGCGUGAGCAAUCUACCUUAGUUACUGGGAUAGCCCGAGGAAACUCGGAUUAAUACCGGAUAAUCUUAUUACAUCACAUGAUAUUUUAAGUAAAGGUCAGCCGAACUAAGAUGAGCUCGCGUUCUAUCAGCUUGUUGGUGGGGUAAAAGCCUACCAAGGCUACGACGGAUAGCUGGUCUGAGAGGACGAUCAGCCACACUGGGACUGAGACACGGCCCAGACUCCUACGGGAGGCUGCAGCAGGGAAUAUUGCGCAAUGAGCGAAAGCUUGACGCAGCGACACCGCGUGUGGGAUGACGGUUCUAGGAUUGUAAACCACUUUCAGGAGGGAAGAAAAUGACGGUACCUCCACAAGAAGCCCCGGCCAACUACGUGCCAGCAGCCGCGGUAAUACGUAGGGGGCGAGCGUUGUCCGGAUUUAUUGGGCGUAAAGAGCUCGUAGGCGGUUCAACAAGUCGGUCGUGAAAGUUCAGGGCUUAACCCUGAAAUGUCGAUCGAUACUGUUGUGACUAGGAUAUGGUAGAGGUGAGUGGAAUUCCGAGUGUAGCGGUGAAAUGCGUAGAUAUUCGGAGGAACACCAAUAGCGAAGGCAGCUCACUGGACCACUAUCGACGCUGAGGAGCGAAAGCUAGGGGAGCAAACAGGAUUAGAUACCCUGGUAGUCCUAGCUGUAAACGAUGGAUACUAGAUGUAGGAAUUGGAUUGACGAUUUCUGUAUCGUAGCUAACGCGUUAAGUAUCCCGCCUGGGGAGUACG
rnacentral:rRNA from 1 species